rnacentral:rRNA from 1 species
GACGAACGCUGGCGGCGUGCUUAACACAUGCAAGUCGAGCGGUAAGGCCCUUUCGGGGUACGACGAGCGGCGAACGGGUAGGAGUAACAACGUGGGUGGACCUCGCCCUCCAGCUCUGGGAGUAAGACCCGGGAAACCGUAGGGUCGUAAUAACUGGAGUAUGACUCCAUGACGCAUGUUGUGGGGUGGGAAAGACCUUGUGCGGCUGAGGAUGGGCCCGGCCGGCCUAUCAGCUUGUUGGUGGGGGGAUGGCC